GAUGAACGCUAGCUACAGGCUUAACACAUGCAAGUCGAGGGGUAACGAGAGGAAAGCUUGCUUUCCUCGUCGACGACCGGCGCACGGGUGAGUAACGCGUAUCCAACCUGCCCCCAACUAAGGAAUAACCUUGCGAAAGUAAGACUAACACCUUAUAAUUUCCUCAGAUGUCAUCUGACGAGGAAUAAAGAUUUAUCGGUUGUGGAUGGGGAUGCGUCUGAUUAGCUUGUUGGCGGGGUAACGGCCCACCAAGGCAACGAUCAGUAGGGGUUCUGAGAGGAAGGUCCCCCACAUUGGAACUGAGACACGGUCCAAACUCCUACGGGAGGCAGCAGUGAGGAAUAUUGGUCAAUGGGCGGAAGCCUGAACCAGCCAAGUAGCGUGCAGGAUGACGGCCCUAUGGGUUGUAAACUGCUUUUAUACAGGAAUAAAGUUAGCCACGUGUGGUUAUUUGUAGGUACUGUAUGAAUAAGGACCGGCUAAUUCCGUGCCAGCCGCCGCCGUAA
rnacentral:rRNA from 1 species